rnacentral:rRNA from 1 species
UACAGAGGGUGCGAGCGUUAAUCGGAAUUACUGGGCGUAAAGCGUGCGUAGACGGUUUCGUAAGUCGGGUGUGAAAGCCCCGGGCUCAACCUGGGAAUUGCAUUCGAGACUGCGUAGCUAGGGUGCGGUAGAGGAAAGCAGAAUUCCCGGUGUAGCGGUGAAAUGCGUAGAUAUCGGGAGGAAUACCAGUGGCGAAGGCGGCUUUCUGGGCCUGUUCUGACGCUGAGGAGCGAAAGCGUGGGGAGCAAACCGG